rnacentral:tRNA from 1 species
GGAGGGUACAGCUCAGUGGUAGAGCACGUGCUUAGCAUGCACAAGGUCUUGGGUUCAAUCCCCAGAACCUCCA